UGGGGAAUCUUGCACAAUGGGCGAAAGCCUGAUGCAGCGACGCCGCGUGGGGGAUGAAGCUUCUCGGAGUGUAAACCCCUUUCGACCCGGACGAAUACCUCGCAAGAGGGGUGACGGUACGGGUAUAAGAAGCCCCGGCUAACUACGUGCCAGCAGCCGCGGUAAGACGUAGGGGGCCAGCGUUGUUCGGAAUUACUGGGUGUAAAGGGUUCGUAGGCGGUGUGGCAAGUCGGGAGUGAAAUUUCUGGGCUCAACUCAGAGACUGCUUCCGAAACUGCUGUGCUGGAGUGUGGGAGAGGCGCGUGGAAUUGCAGGUGUAGCGGUGAAAUGCGUAGAUAUCUGCAGGAACACCCGUGGCGAAAGCGGCGCGCUGGACCACUACUGACGCUGAGGAACGAAAGCUAGGGGAGCAAACAGGAUUAGAUACCCCCGUAGUCC
rnacentral:rRNA from 1 species